GCUCGGGUGGUGAAAUGGCAUACACAGCAGACUUAAGAUCUGCCGCUGUUAAAAGCGUGUGGGUUCGAGUCCCACCCCGAGCA
rnacentral:tRNA from 1 species